GACGAACGCUGGCGGCGUGCUUAACACAUGCAAGUCGAGCGGUAAGGCCCCUUCGGGGGUACACGAGCGGCGAACGGGUGAGUAACACGUGAGCAAUCUGCCCUUCACACGGGGAUAACCACCGGAAACGGUGGCUAAUACCCGAUACGACCACUUCAGGCAUCUGAUGGUGGUGGAAAGUUCCGGCGGUGAAGGAUGAGCUCGCGGCCUAUCAGCUUGUUGGUGGGGUAAUGGCCUACCAAGGCAACGACGGGUAGCCGGCCUGAGAGGGUGACCGGCCACACUGGGACUGAGACACGGCCCAGACUCCUACGGGAGGCAGCAGUGGGGAAUAUUGGACAAUGGGCGAAAGCCUGAUCCAGCAACGCCGCGUGAGGGAUGACGGCCUUCGGGUUGUAAACCUCUUUCAGCAGGGACGAAGCGCAAGUGACGGUACCUGCAGAAGAAGCACCGGCCAACUACGUGCCAGCCGCCGCAGUAAAAC
rnacentral:rRNA from 1 species